GCCCGCCUAGCUCAAUCGGAUAGAGCGUCAGACUCUUACGAAGGCGUGGCAAUAUGCGUACUUGCGCAAUCUGAAGGCUGCGAGUUCGACCCUCGCGGUGGGCU
rfam:Fomitopsis pinicola FP-58527 SS1 unplaced genomic scaffold FOMPIscaffold_34, whole genome shotgun sequence.